rnacentral:rRNA from 1 species
UUCAAUAUCGUUGCGGCCAGCAAUUGGUCGUAGCGGUGUGCACUUUUCCCUUAGUAAGACGUUGCGAUCCGUUAGAAAACCACGUGUGUUCUGUACACAGGUGCCUGGGCAGGAGUUUAUACUUUUUGCGUGUAGCAUAAAUUUGUUUUUAUGCGAAUGCGUAUAAACUGCCUGGUAUCCUUACAGAUAUCUGACGGCAUUUUGAGUUAAAUGCUACACCCGAUGCCACGGCAUCGUUGCGCUCCGGCGCAAAGUGUGUGCAUCAUCAGCAACGUUUUAGAUUUAGGAUACCAUCAGGACCCGUCUUGAAACACGGACCAAGGAGUCUAACUUAUAUGCGAGUCAAUGAGAUUAUUGAAACUCAUAGGCGUAAUUAACAUGACUUGUUACCAAUGGGAUUACRAACAACAUCUCUCAUGUUGUUUUUCCAUCCCCGGGUGUCUUGCCUAUACGUAUUCAUUCCUCGUGUUUGUUUACUAUAAAGACAUACCGUGAGCAUAUAGGCUGUGACCCGAAAGAUGGUGAACUAUGCCUGAUCAGGUUGAAGUCAGGGGAAACCCUGAUGGAAGACCGUAGCAAUUCUGACGUGCAAAUCG